AUACGUAGGGGGCGUGCGUUGUCCGGAAUGAUUGGGCGUAAAGGGAGCGUAGGCGUCUUUGCAAGUCAGAAGUGGAAGUCCAUUUUUCAAGGCUGGAAGUGCUACAGAAACUGCGGCGCUUGAGUUCAGGAGAGGUUAUCUGAAUUUCCGGUGUAGCGGUGAAAUGCGUAGAGAUCGGGAGGAACACCAGUGGCGAAGGCGGGGAACUGGACUGCAACUGACGCUGAGGCUCGAAAGCGUGGGUAGCAAACAGGAUUAGAUACCCUGGUAGUCCACGCUGUAAACGAUGAUUACUAGGUGUGGGGGGACUGACCCCUUCCGUGCCGCAGUUAACACAAUAAGUAAUCCACCUGGGGAGUACGGCCGCAAGGUUGAAACUCAAAUGAAUUGACGGGG
rnacentral:rRNA from 1 species